UCGGUGGUCUGGGGCUAGACGUGCGGGCUUUUAACCCGUAGGUCCAGGGUUCGAGUCCCUGUCGACCCA
rnacentral:tRNA from 1 species